rnacentral:rRNA from 1 species
AAAUACUCCUGACUGACCGAUAGUGAACCAGUACCGUGAGGGAAAGGCGAAAAGAACCCCGGCGAGGGGAGUGAAAAAGAACCUGAAACCGUGUACGUACAAGCAGUGGGAGCCCCACCACUAAGCCAGUGGUGAACUCCACAUCCGCAUCCUUUGCUGAGGAUACGGUUAACGGAGCGAAAGCGACGUUCAACCGCAAAACAAGCAGAGGGGGCUUAGUGGUGGGGUGACUGCGUACCUUUUGUAUAAUGGGUCAGCGACUUAUAUUCUGUAGCAAGGUUAACCGAAUAGGGGAGCCGGAGGGAAACCGAGUCUUAAUUGGGCGUUAAGUUGCAGGGUAUAGACCCGAAACCCGGUGAUCUAGCCAUGGGCAGGUUGAAGGUUGGGUAACACUAACUGGAGGACCGAACCGACUAAUGUUGAAAAAUUAGCGGAUGACCUGUGGCUGGGGGUGAAAGGCCAAUCAAACCGGGAGAUAGCUGGUUCUCCCCGAAAGCUAUUUAGGUAGCGCCUCGUGAAUUCAUCUCCGGGGGUAGAGCACUGUUUCGGCUAGGGGGCCAUCCCGGCUUACCAACCCGAUGCAAACUGCGAAUACCGGAGAAUGUUAUCACGGGAGACACACGGCGGGUGCUAACGUCCGUCGUGAAGAGGGAAACAACCCAGACCGCCAGCUAAGGUCCCAAAGUCAUGGUUAAGUGGGAAACGAUGUGGGAAGGCCCAGACAGCCAGGAUGUUGGCUUAGAAGCAGCCAUCAUUUAAAGAAAGCGUAAUAGCUCACUGGUCGAGUCGGCCUGCGCGGAAGAUGUAACGGGGCUAAACCAUGCACCGAAGCUGCGGCAGCGAACGUAUCACCCAAGACAACUUUACGGAGUUGACGAUUGACGGAGCGAAGCGACGUCAAAGCGUUCAUUAAAGUCGAGUUGGCUUAGGGAUACGUUCGUUGGGUAGGGGAGCGUUCUGUAAGCCUGUGAAGGUGUGUCGUGAGGCAUGCUGGAGGUAUCAGAAGUGCGAAUGCUGACAUAAGUAACGAUAAAGCGGGUGAAAAGCCCGCUCGCCGGAAGACCAAGGGUUCCUGUCCAACGUUAAUCGGGGCAGGGUGAGUCGACCCCUAAGGCGAGGCCGAAAGGCGUAGUCGAUGGGAAACGGGUUAAUAUUCCCGUACUUGGUGUUACUGCGAAGGGGGGACGGAGAAGGCUAUGUUGGCCGGGCGACGGUUGUCCCGGUUUAAGCGUGUAGGUGUGUGUUCCAGGUAAAUCCGGUU